rnacentral:rRNA from 1 species
GACGAACGCUGGCGGCGUGCCUAAUACAUGCAAGUCGAGCGCAGGAAACCGUCUGAACCCUUCGGGGGGACGACGGCGGAAUGAGCGGCGGACGGGUGAGUAACACGUAAAGAACCUGCCCACGGGUCUGGGAUAACCACGAGAAAUCGGGGCUAAUACCGGACGGGUCAUCGGACCGCAUGGUCCGAGGAUGAAAGGCGCUCCGGCGUCGCCCGUGGAUGGCUUUGCGGUGCAUUAGCUAGUUGGUGGGGUAACGGCCCACCAAGGCGACGGUGCAUAGCCGACCUGGGAGGGUGAUCGGCCACACUGGGACUGAGACACGGCCCAGACUCCUACGGGAGGCAGCAGUAGGGAAUCUUCCACAAUGGACGAAAGUCUGAUGGGGCAACGCCGCGUGAACGAUGAAGGCCCUCGGGUCGUAAAGUUCUGUUGUAAGGGAAGAACAAGUGCCGCAGGCAAUGGCGGCACCUUGACGGUACCUUGCGAGAAAGCCACGGCUAACUACGUGCCAGCCGCCGCAGUAA